rnacentral:misc_RNA from 1 species
CUGUCUCUCAACUCAAACUCCAAAACUUUGCUAGAAAGAGAGAAAAAGCCUUUUUAAUUUCCCCAUUCCUUAUGGUUUGGCAAGUUAAUCGAUUGUUUUGCUUUCCGGGAAAAUUUAUUCCUCAACUAAACUGUCACUUUCCUGGGAAAAUUUACAGCACCUGAGAAUAUCAUUCCGGUACCUUACCCAACUGUUGUCUCAUGAUUCCAAUUUGCUUGCUACUGGUGUGUGUAGUUAUCUUUCAAUUCAUUUCCUCUUUGCAUUAAUUUUACUUUACUUUUUCUGGGUUUUCUUUGUAACUUAGCUCCAGAGCUCACGAGAUCUGAAAUUAU